rnacentral:rRNA from 1 species
GACGAACGCUGGCGGCGUGCUUAACACAUGCAAGUCACGGGGGCCCGCAAGGGUAACCGGCGAACGGGUGCGUAACACGUGAGCAAGCUUCCGAUUAGUGGGGGAUAGCCGGCCCAACGGCCGGGUAAUAACGCAUACGUUCACUGGACGGCAUCGUCUGGUGAGGAAACCUCCGGGGCUAAUCGAGGCGCUCGCGGCCUAUCAGCUAGUUGGCGGGGUAAUGGCCCACCAAGGCUAUGACGGGUAGCUGGUCUGAGAGGAUGGCCAGCCACAUUGGGACUGCGACACGGCCCAGACUCCUACGGGAGGCAGCAGUGGGGAAUAUUGCGCAAUGGACGAAAGUCUGACGCAGCGACGCCGCGUGUAGGAUGACGCCUUUCGGGGUGUAAACUACUGUUGCCCGGGACGAAACUCCUUUUUCGAGAGGACUGACGGUACCGGGUGAGGAAGCACCGGCUAACUCUGUGCCAGCCGCCGCUGUAAGAC